UAAAUCGUACCCCAAACCGACACAGGUGGUCAGGUAGAGAAUACCAAGGCGCUUGAGAGAACUCGGGUGAAGGAACUAGGCAAAAUGGUGCCGUAACUUCGGGAGAAGGCACGCUGGUGUGUAGGUGAAGUCCCUGCGGAUGGAGCUGAGACCAGUCGAAGAUACCAGCUGGCUGCAACUGUUUAUUAAAAACACAGCACUGUGCAAACACGAAAGUGGACGUAUACGGUGUGACGCCUGCCCGGUGCCGGAAGGUUAAUUGAUGGGGUU
rnacentral:rRNA from 1 species